AUUGAACGCUGGCGGCAGGCCUAACACAUGCAAGUCGAGCGAGUGGCGGACGGGUGAGUAAUGUAUGGGGAACUGCCUGAUAGAGGGGGAUAACUACUGGAAACGGUGGCUAAUACCGCAUACCAUCGGAUGUACCCAUAUGGGAUUAGCUAGUUGGUGGGGUAACGGCUCACCUAGGCGACGAUCCCUAGCUGGUCUGAGAGGAUGACCAGCCACACUGGUACUGAGACACGGGCCAGAGUCCUACGGGAGGCAGCAGUGGGGAAUAUUGCACAAUGGGCGCAAGCCUGAUGCAGCCAUGCCGCGUGUAUGAAGAAGGCCUUAGGGUUGUAAAGUACUUUCAGCGGGGAGGCGUUACCCGCAGAAGAAGCACCGGCGAACGACGGGCCAGCAGCCGCGGUAAUAC
rnacentral:rRNA from 1 species